UACGUAGGAGACGAGCGUUGUCCGGAGUUACUGGGCGUAAAGCGUGCGCAGGCGGUUUUGUAAGCCAGAUGUGAAAUCCCCGGGCUCAACCUGGGAACUGCAUUUGUGACUGCACAGCUGGAGUGCGGCAGAGGGGGAUGGAAUUCCGCGUGUAGCAGUGAAAUGCGUAGAUAUGCGGAGGAAUACCGAUGGCGAAGGCAGGUCUCUGGGCUGACACUGACGCUCAUGCACGAAAGCGUGGGGAGCAAACAGG
rnacentral:rRNA from 1 species